rnacentral:rRNA from 1 species
GACGAACGCUGGCGGCGUGCUUAACACAUGCAAGUCGAACGAGGUCCAUGAAGUAGCCAUACUUCGGAAGACCUAGUGGCGAACGGGUGCGUAACACGCGAGGAACUUGUCCCGGUCUCUGGGAUAACAGUCGGUAACGACUGCUAAUACCGGAUGACGACGGAGCGUCGCAUGGCGCGCCGAGGAAGGGGUUACCGGGUCGGGAGGGCUCCGCGGCCUAUCAGCUUGUUGGCGGGGUAAUGGCCCACCAAGGCAUCGGCGGGUAGCUGGUCUGAGAGGAUGAUCAGCCACACUGGGACUGAGACACGGCCCAGACUCCUACGGGAGGCAGCAGUGGGGAAUCUUGCGCAAUGGGCGAAAGCCUGACGGAGCAACGCCGCGUGCGGGAAGAAGGCUCUCGGGUUGUAAACCGCUUUCAGCAGGAACGAAAAUGACGGUACUUGCAGAAGAAGGUGCGGCCAACUACGUGCCAGCCGCCGCCGUAA